AUCGGAGGAGCAAACAGCCAUCUCUGGAGAUUGUAAUAAAGGGACCCUCUUUUUGGACCUGGGGUCUACCUUUAUGAACAGGAUCAGGCUGAGGACACUGCCCACGCCCCACAUUUUUGGAUAGGGCUAUCAGGUAUCAAUUGGGUGAUUGUCCCAGUCUCCUCCAUCUACUGGUUGGUGAGUGACUGUCCCUGCCCUGAACUCCAGACUCUCACUUUUGAUUAAGUCUUCCUUCUACCUUUCUUGUCUGAGACUGUGGGUCCCUUUGGAGACCCUCUUCAUGAGGUGCCUGCCAGGCAAUUGGGGUUAAGGGACUUGCCCAGUAAACUAUAAGGUUUGAGAUGAUUUGCACAACAUAAACUUUAUGACUAGUAUUGACAUCUUGUAUUGAGAUCUGUUUUGUAAAAGCUUUUCGAAGGAACAUCUGAGGAGUCUCUACAAAUAGCUUGGAACCAGAGAAGCAAAUCUACCAAAGUGGUGUCCUGAGAACACAAUAUUUUCCAGACUGCCCCAAGAAAAGAUGUUUCCAGAGACCAGACAAUUGCAUGGGACACCUGGGGCAAGAUGAAACGUGUUCACUAACUGAACAUUGGGAGUGGGUUAGCCAGUUACAUUGUUAGGUGGUCAUUAUUGUAUUACUUGGGUCUUUUGUUUCAUGCCUUUUGUUUACUGAGUUUUCUUGGUGACUUUGCUGAUAUGUACACCUGUCCCCUUGCUUGUGCUUUUUUUUCUUUCUCUUUGACCCAGUUAUACUCUGGUGGCUCGCUGAAUUUGUAUCCUGCAGCCUUAGAGCUGAAGUACUGAACUACAUAUGCUGAACUCCAUUUUGUUUUCUGACCUUCACCUUGUAUGCCCUUCUUCAGGAAAGUAGGAGUUCCUGCCUUAGAAAACCCGCCAAGAAAGAUACCCGCCCCAAUCUUUAUUCCAUGAUCCUUAUAUGGUCCCAAAGGCAGGAUUAACCAAUCACUUGCUUGGCUUCUGUAACUUCCCCCCUUAUGCAACCCCUGACCGUUUCCUCUGUGGCCUCUACCUUUAUAAACUCAAGCUCUGCCCCUGAUCGGGGCUGCUCGAUUUGGGUAUGUACCCCUUGCAGCCGCACACUAAUAAAUCCACAUUUCAAAUUAUGUCUGGGUCUCCCUCGCUGAUUUCUCUGUACAACAGAGCCACUGGACUUUUUGUUGUAUCUCCUGCCUCUUUAGAAUACCAACCACUGAGAAGCCCCCAAAACAUGGAUUACUCAUUAGUCUUCAGGGGAUCUAGCAACCCUGUUGACAAAGAGGAGAGAAGGUUAACACGAGCACUGUAAUGAUUAUUCUCUAUGUUAGAACAUCCCAAAGCUGCUUGACGUACAAAUGAUCCUUUGAGAAUGAACUUUAGCUGAAUUUGGAGAUGUCUGUAGCUGCCAGAAGCCACAGAACCAGCCUUGACCAGAUCAAGGGCAACUUUGAACUACAGACUCAAGACUUACUCUGGACUUUCUAAACAUCCUGCGUCUGGCUUAUUGUGUCUACAGAUGUCUUCUCCCUUCACCCCUGUCCCCCUCCCUGGUCCAAAGUUUCUAGACACUAUAUUAUUUCACCCUUUUUCCACUCCCCUUUGAGCAGGUGACAACUCUCUCCUCUCUCUCUCUCUCUGUCUCUCUCUCUCUCUGCAUCUCUCUUCUUUCUGUCUCUCUUCUCUGCCUCUGUGUGUUUCUCCUCCGCUGCCAAGUUUCUCUUGCAAGCUCUUCUCAGACAAUAUCAUUUAUGAUCCCUCUUUUUGGGCUUGGCGUCUUCCUUUAACAGUUGUCUUCCCCGUGAGCUCCUCGAGGACAGAAACUGUAUUUCGGCAUUUUAUGUAUUCCCAGGGUUUAACACAGAGCUUGGCAUAUAGUAGUUGACAGGGUAGAGGGCCAAGCCCAGACCUUUGCC